UACGAAGGGGGCUAGCGUUGUUCGGAAUUACUGGGCGUAAAGCGCACGUAGGCGGAUACUUAAGUCAGGGGUGAAAUCCCGGGGCUCAACCCCGGAACUGCCUUUGAUACUGGGUAUCUCGAGUCCGGAAGAGGUGAGUGGAAUUCCGAGUGUAGAGGUGAAAUUCGUAGAUAUUCGGAAGAACACCAGUGGCGAAGGCGACAUACUGGUCCGUUACUGACGCUGAGGCUCGAAAGCGUGGGGAGCAAACAGG
rnacentral:rRNA from 1 species